CCUCAGUCCAAGACUUCAUUGUUUUAACCACAGGUUUUGCAGCUUUAAGUUUCUGUCUAUAAACAGAUUACGUACUUAUUUAUUUUAAACCUGGAAAAAUAUUCCACUAGCAUUCCACCAAGCAUUCCACUGUGGUGGCACAAUGGUUAGAAUGCAGUACUGCCAGCUACAUCUCCUGACUGCCAGCUGCCAGCAAUUGGACAGUUUGAUUCUCACCAGUUCAAGGUUGACUCAGCCUUCCAUCCUUCCAAGACUGAAUGAAGAUACAUAAAGAGAUGGAGACAACUUG